UCAUACGAGAGUUUUUAACUCAAGUGGCGGACGGGUGAGUAACACGUAAGAAUUUACCUUUAGGAGGGGGAUAACAACGAGAAAUUGUUGCUAAUACCCCAUAUGCUUUCGAGUGAAAUGGAUUUUUCCGCCUAGAGAGAAGCUUGCGCCUGAUUAGCUUGUUGGUAAGGUAAUGGCUUACCAAGGCGACGAUCAGUAUCUGGUUUGAGAGGAUGAUCAGACACACUGGAACUGAGACACGGUCCAGACUCCUACGGGAGGCAGCAGUGGGGAAUUUUCCGCAAUGGGCGAAAGCCUGACGGAGCAAUCUCGCGUGAGGGAUGACGGCCUAUGGGUUGUAAACCUCUUUUUUCAGGGAGGAAUAAAAUGACGUGUACCUGAAGAAUAAGCAUCGGCUAACUCCGUGCCAGCAGCCGCGGUAAGACGGAGGAUGCAAGUGUUAUCCGGAAUCACUGGGCGUAAAGCGUCUGUAGGUGGUUUAGUAAGUCAACUGUUAAAUCUUGGAGCUUAACUUCAAAAUCGCAGUCGAAACUGCUAGACUAGAGUAUAGUAGGGGUAAAGGGAAUUUCCAGUGGAGCGGUGAAAUGCGUAGAGAUUGGAAAGAACACCGAUGGCGAAGGCACUUUACUGGGCUAUUACUAACACUCAGAGACGAAAGCUAGGGUAGCAAAUGGGAUUA
rnacentral:rRNA from 1 species